GUGGGGAUGUAGGGUCUAUAGGGGAUAUAGGGUGGGGAUGUAGGGUCUAUAGGGGAUAUAGGGUGGGGAUGUAGGGUCUAUAGGGGAUAUAGGGUGGGGAUGUAGGGUCCAUAGGGGAUGGAGGGUCUAUAGGAGAUGUAGGGUGGGGAUGUAGGGUCUAUAGGGGAUGUAGGGUGGGGAUGUAGGGUCUAUAGGGGAUGUUGGGUGGGGAUGUAGGGUCUAUAGGGGAUGUUGGGUGGGGAUGUAGGGUCUAUAGGGGAUAUAGAGUGGGGAUGUAGGGUCUAUAGGGGAUAUAGGGUGGGGAUGUAGGGUCUAUAGGGGAUGUAGGGUCUAUAGGGGAUGUAGGGUCUAUAGGGGAUAUAGGGUGGGGAUGUAGGGUCUAUAGGGGAUAUAGGGUGGGAAUGUAGGGUCUAUAGGGGAUAUAGGGUGGGUAUGUAGUGUCUAUGUGAGCUGUAUGGCUGUAUGUGGGGUGUAGGAUUAUUAUGGGGGGGGUCCCUCAUCUCUCCCCCCCCCAUUGCAGCAAUGCACCGCGCGCCCCUUUGACAGCGAGGAGAAGGACCGUGAGUACAAACCCCACAGCAUCCCCCUGCGCCAGGCCGUGCAGCCCCCCAAGUUCAACACCUACGGCCGCAGGGCCAAGAGGCUGCAGCAGGAGAUAAGGAUGGCCCCGAGUGCCCCCCCACGGUGGUGGUGAAGGAGGAACCUCCGUCUUUGGGGUCGGAAGGAAAAGGGGAAUCGUUGUCAUCCCGGAUUUACCCCGAAAACAAAGAGGAGCUUCGACACAGCCCGGAACCCUGCACCAAAAUGACCAUGAGGCUGCGCCGCAGCCACAGCAACAGCCAGUUUGUGAGUCAAAGACACAAAAUGGAGCAGUUUUGACCCAAAAUGGAGCAAAUUUGACCCAAAAAGGAGCAAAUUUGCCCCUAAAUGGACCAGAUUUGCCCCUAAAUGGAACAAAUUUGGCAAUAAUGAAGCAAUUUUGCCCCUAAAUGGACCCAAUUUGCCCCUAAAUGAACCAAUUUUACCCCUAAAUGGACCAAUUUUACCCCAAAAAGAACCAAUUUUACCCCAAAAUGGACCAAUUUUGCCCCUAAAUGGACCAGAUUUGCCCCUAAAUGGA
rnacentral:lncRNA from 1 species